GAGAGUUAAACAGUACGUGAAAUUGUUGAAAGGGAAACGAUUGAAGUCAGUCAUACUAACGGGAAAUCAACCUCUUGAGUUUGGUCUCGUGGGUUUUGAAGAGUUUAAAAGCCUUCGGAUUUUCGAGAUUGGAUUCUUCUGGUGUACUUUCUCGUACGGUUAGUCAACAUCGGUUUUGAAUGUCAUAAAAUGACUGGAGGAAUGUGGCUUCGAUCUCGUAUUGAAGUGUUAUAGCCUUUGGUAGAUGUGAUGUUCGAGACCGAGGAUUGUGCAACGGAUACCCUUCUGGGCUAUUCGUCUGAUCUCUGAAACGUUGCCUUGAUGUCGAAAGCUUGCUUAUGAUGUUAGGGUAUUACGGUCAAAAGGUUAGAACGGAUUAAAUUCGUUAAGGAUGUUGACGUAAUGACUUUAAACGA
rnacentral:rRNA from 1 species